rnacentral:rRNA from 1 species
AUUGAACGCUGGCGGCAUGCCUUACACAUGCAAGUCGAACGGCAGCACGGGGGCAACCCUGGUGGCGAGUGGCGAACGGGUGAGUAAUGCAUCGGAACGUGCCCAGUAGUGGGGGAUAACCCGGCGAAAGCCGGGCUAAUACCGCAUACGACCUACGGGUGAAAGCGGGGGACCGUAAGGCCUCGCGCUAUUGGAGCGGCCGAUGUCUGAUUAGCUAGUUGGCGGGGUAAAGGCCCACCAAGGCGACGAUCAGUAGCUGGUCUGAGAGGACGACCAGCCACACUGGGACUGAGACACGGCCCAGACUCCUACGGGAGGCAGCAGUGGGGAAUUUUGGACAAUGGGGGCAACCCUGAUCCAGCCAUGCCGCGUGAGUGAAGAAGGCCUUCGGGUUGUAAAGCUCUUUCGGCCGGGAAGAAAUCGUAUGGGUUAAUACCCUGUGCGGAUGACGGUACCGGCAUAAGAAGCACCGGCUAACUACGUGCCAGCCGCCGCCGUAAGAC